GCGGGCGUGGUGGAACUGGUAGACACACUGGAUUUAGGUUCCAGCGGCUUCGGCCAUGGGGGUUCAAGUCCCUUCGCCCGCACCA
rnacentral:tRNA from 1 species